UUUCUUUGCUGGCGACCGGCGCACGGGUGAGUAACACGUAUCCAACCUGCCCCUUACUCGGGGAUAGCCUUCGAAAGAAAGAUUAAUACCCGAUAGCAUAAUGAUUCCGCAUGGUUUCAUUAUUAAAGGAUUCCGGUAAAGGAUGGGGAUGCGUUCCAUUAGGUUGUUGGUGAGGUAACGGCUCACCAAGCCUUCGAUGGAUAGGGGUUCUGAGAGGAAGGUCCCCCACAUUGGAACUGAGACACGGUCCAA
rnacentral:rRNA from 1 species